UCCCAGGUGGCUCAGUGGGUAAAGAAUCUGCCUGCAAUGCAAGAGACGCAGGAGACUCAGGUUCAAUCCCUGGGUUGGGAA
rnacentral:tRNA from 1 species